rnacentral:lncRNA from 1 species
GUGUUUGAUUGCGUUCUGGGAGGUGCACCUAUGCGAUGGCAAGAGUGUCCAUCCAAACAGAAGUUAAAAGAAAUAAAGCUACAGUCCAUUAAAUCUUAGUGUUUGUGUUUCAUGAGUAUGUUUAUUCUCGAACAUAACUGUGGUCCGUGCAACCCGGUAGGAAGAUUAGUGCCUAUGGAUAAAGUGCUGGUUAAAAAGCUUAAAGGUGAAGUGUUAAAUUGAUAAAAAAGUGUGAUAUGUUACUUCGAAUUCGACAUAAAAAUUAGUGUGUGUUUGGAUUUACAAAUUUCGGGUUCAUUUGGAUUACCUCAAACGGAGAAAAAAAAAUGAAUUUAAGAAAAUGGAAAUGUAAGAAUGUUUGAAAUUGUUUGAAAACUCGCAGACAGCAUCUUGGAGAGCCAUCCAUAUGUUACCUCAUUAUGAGAUUCUGCAGAAACACCAGCUAAAGCAUAUAUAUACAUUUCAAGAAGAGCAUUUUUGUUAACAUAGUGUAUUAUCUGAAAUCACUUUACAUGGUGCUUUUGAAUAUAUUGCCUGUGCAUUUUUGCAGUUGAUAUAUAUAAAUAUAUAUACAUAUAUAUUUUGUUCUUAUUAAGCUCCCAGAAUGUGUAACAUAAAAAUCACAUUUAUUACAUAUAUUUUUUUUAUUUUGUAUGGGAAAACUGUAUGCCUUAUUGAUGUUGUUAAUAUUCAUUAUUUAAACUAUUCAAAAAUUACUGUUGCCUUGAGAAAUAUAAACUUCAAAGCAACUUUGAAAUGCAGUUUGCUAUAAUUGUAUUAUAAAAUGUGAGAUUUUAUUGAAUGUCGCUUAAUUUUGAUACAGCUAAUAUUUGAGAACAAAAUACUCGAGGUUUACUCAACCUCAUAAAAUCUCUAAGGGUUGCUUUAUAUUUUAUUAACGUUUGUUAUUUUUUAUUGCUCAUUCAGAUACAUCGAAUAUGUUUCUGUGUAACCUUUUGCACCAGAAUUGGCAUACAUGUCAGGUAGAAUAACCCAAAUAAUUUGUUAAAGAUUGUUUAAAAAGUCUGAAGAAAAUAUUUAACAAGUAUUUUUCAAAACAUUUGAAAAGUUUAUAAAUUAGGUGAAUGCAUUAUUAUUUAUUAUAUUAGUUAAUAUUAUUAUUACAUAUGAAAUUACAUAUUUUAAAGUUAACUCCAAACUUAUAAGAGUACAAUAAUCAAACUGAAAAUUUUGCAUAAGAAUGACAGAUUAUGCAAAACGGUGAACAGACAUUAAAAAUAUGUGUAAGACUAUAAACAAAAACAUUUCUUAUCUGAAUUAGAUGAGAUGUUAAAAUUACUCGAUCAAAUUCAAGAAAUAGUUUUUUUUUAUUAUUUUUUUAAUUUUAGUAAAUUAUGUAAUGAAAAUUUGUGAGACUUCAUGAUUCAGUUAAUUUCCAUAUACCAUUCAGUUCUCACUGUUUCUUUUCUGUAUUUUGCUUUUUUUAUUGUUCCACACCAUUAUCACAAUAAUAACUGCAGUUAUUUAAUUCAAAUAUGUUAAAGCUUUAAAUUUUUGUAGUAAUAUUUCUUGAAAAAUCUAUUCAGUACCAAAGAUGAUAAUAAUAUAAUAAUGUUCGAUAAUUUUAACAUUUACUGAUCAGAUUGCAAAUGAAGUAGAAUUCAUAUAAUCUGUAUAUAUCUGUAAUCCACGUUCAACAACCCCCCUUUUCUGAUAACUUAGCAUGGCAAAUUAAAUGGCAAUACUUUCGUAUAUGUAGAAGAAAAUGAAAUUUUUAAAAAUUACGUGUAUAAUGUUUCAACUGAAGAAGCAAAUUUAUUGUUGACAUUUCCUUUCCCCUGUGCAUGCAUCAGCAUCUUUUUAUGACAAAACACUUGUCAUAAAUUUACAAAUUUUUCAUUUUAGAUAAAUCUCUUAAAAUUAUUUUUCUGUUUAUGUGGUAAAUAUGGAUAAAUCUGUGAUAAAUAUAGGUGUCUGUUCGUGAUUUUUCAGAUGUAAAUUUCCAGUUUAAACUUCCAUAGACAAAAAAAAAAAAAAAAAAAAAAAUACUUCCAGUACCAUAUUUCCUUCCCACACCAGUUUGCAACCUUGUUUAAGUCAAUGGUGAAUAGGGAUAGGUUAUUAAAAAUUAGCGCUUGUAGAGACUUUCUUCAAUAUAAAAAAUGAAAAACAACACAAAGAAAAUCAUGCUUAAGAACUUAAAUUAAUUCAGAAUUCCAAUUUUAGCACUUUUCAUUAAUUGUUAGUAGUG